rnacentral:rRNA from 1 species
CGGGACGGGUGAGUAAUGUCUGGGAAACUGCCCGAUGGAGGGGGAUAACUACUGGAAACGGUAGCUAAUACCGCAUAACGUCGCAAGACCAAAGAGGGGGACCUUCGGGCCUCUUGCCAUCGGAUGUGCCCAGAUGGGAUUAGCUAGUAGGUGGGGUAAUGGCUCACCUAGGCGACGAUCCCUAGCUGGUCUGAGAGGAUGAUCAGCCACACUGGAACUGAGACACGGUCCAG